ensembl:snRNA U6 U6 spliceosomal RNA
GUGCUUGCUUUUGCAUCACAUAUAUUGAAAUUAGAAUGAUACAGGAUUAGCAUGGCUGCAGUGCAAGGAUGAUGUGCAAAUUUGUGAACUGUUCCAUAUUUUU